rnacentral:rRNA from 1 species
UACGUAUGGUGCAAGCGUUAUCCGGAUUUACUGGGUGUAAAGGGAGCGCAGGCGGCACGGCAAGCCUGAUGUGAAAGCCCGCGGCCCAACCGCGGGACUGCAUUGGGAACUACCGGGCUGGAGUGCCGGAGAGGUAGGCGGAAUUCCUAGUGUAGCGGUGAAAUGCGUAGAUAUUAGGAGGAACACCAGUGGCGAAGGCGGCCUACUGGACGGUGACUGACGCUGAGUCUCGAAAGCGUGGGGAGCAAACAGG